GAUAAGAGCUAUCAUUAGGAACUGAUAUCAGGGCUGGAAUGAGUUUCUCCUUUUGUGUUUUUGAUCCAUAAAUCAGUUUGAAUGAAAGUAUUGUUCUCUCUCAACCUCCUACGAUUCUCCAUCCUGAAGUGAAAGGAGCUUGUUGCCUAUUUUUAUUCCUGAAUUUAUCUCUGUGGGUGAAGGUCCAUGUGUGGGAGUGCUUCCUAUUGUUAACCCGUGCUUCGCUCUGAUGUUUGAAUGAAGGCAUUGUUCAGGCUCUGUGCAGGCGCCAGUAAGACAAGGGCACGAUCCCUCAACAGCUUCCCACCCGCAAGCACUGACUGUGGGUUUUCUUGAAAUCAGGUGCACGACCUCUAAGCCGGAGGUAACUAUGAACUGCAUCAUAUUUUGCAAAAGACGGUACUUAAACAAUUACAGGGCUGAAUACAGUUCUUCCUAAACACAACCCACACUCAAAGGGUAAAGCUGUGGGAAAUUUACCAACUUGAAGAUGCUGGGGAAAAAAAAAUGUGCGUCUUUCAUGCAAAAGUCCAACCAAUAAAGUCAUCAAAAUGAUUAAAAGUCCAAUCUUUCCUCUGUCUUUUAAAAUCAAAAUCUUGCUCUCAUAAUAACUAAUAGCUCGCAUAACUGAUAACCCGUUGGUUUACACAAAAAACUGAGUCCUCAGGGUAGAAAUGCAGAGGAGGUAGCAGGACUGCCAGGAACCACCAACACCUCCCACACUCAAUCACUGAUGGACAAAUCAGUCGUGCUGUCAAUCCAAACACAGUUAUAUGUCUGCCUCCUCUGCAUCACUGUUUAGGCGUUUCAUGAGAGCUGCCAUGCUUCAGCUUGUAUUACAGCUUCCCUCUUUAGUCCUUGUCACUGCCCCACUGUUGUACUUCAUUACUUAAUUCAGUGACCACAAUGUUGAGCAUGUAUGACCGCCCUAAUUGUACAACAAUAUUCAGCCUAAUGAAGUGAAUAUUGUUAAAUGUCUACACCUGGGUGUUGGAUGAUACCACACACCUGCCACAACAAAGGGGUGUUUUGGAGUUGAAUCCUUUUUGUUUUUCUAUUUUGCUGUUAAUUUUUCACAUUUACGUAAGAGUAAUUGUUUUUUAUUUUUGUCAUGGUUAAUACAAAGUUAGUAACUAACUGCCUGUCUGUUGAAAGCUUACAGUUAUAUGUUAGCUUAUGGUUUUUGUGGGUUUUUUUCCAUCCCUCGUUUGUUUAAAUGGUUUGGCCUGACAGCAUAUGUCAGGAAAGUCGGGUUUGUCUUUGUUGUGCUCAGAUAAAUCGUCUUGUUUUGUGCAGACCAGUUUGUUUAAUUUUGAGUUUAGUUUAGUUUUGUUGACUUCUUUUAAGGCCCAUUUUAGUUAGUAAUCCUUUGCUUAUAUUGUUCUGUUAUUUUGGAAAUAAAAAACAUUUUUUUAA